rnacentral:tRNA from 1 species
GGCAGCGCCGCGCUGCGGCCGGUCGAGCGGGUCGGUGCCGCCGACCCGCAGCGGGCCGAGUCGCCGCGGCUGCGGGUCGCCCCGCCGCCGCCG